rnacentral:lncRNA from 1 species
CAACAACAACGAUGACAAACGAGACAACAAUGACAACAGCGACCACAACGACGACAAUGACAACAACAACGACGACGACGAAGACAACGACAACAACAACAACAACAACAACAACAACAACAACAACAACAACAACAACAACAACAACAACAACAACAACAACAACAACAACAACAACAACAACAACAACAACAACAACAACAACAACCACAACAACAACAACAACAACAAGAACAACAACAACAACAACAACGACAACAACAACG